rnacentral:lncRNA from 1 species
CAAAAAUUGUGGACAGAGGAAGAAAAAUAAUUAAAAAGCUCCAUUCUCUUUGCAGAAGGUCAGAACAGGACUUCUAAUUAAGUAAAGAAUGACCAGGCAAUACUCUUUGAAAAUUGGAGACCAUUUGCAGCUGCUCUCUGCUGAGGAAAGUGAAUAAUAGGGUGCCCUCAAGGAAUUUCAAAGAGAACAACAGGAUGAGAUGACAGCUUUUCUCAUGGCCCUGUUAAUAGUUUUUGCUAACAAGGAAAGGGGAAGGGAAUAAUUCUUUGCAAUAAUAUUGACUUCUUCUGUGAUCUCGGGAAACUUCAGAAGCCAGAGAUUUUGAGCUUCAGACUAAACCAAGGCAAAUUCCAGCAACAUAAGGCACUAUGCAAAACUCAUUGAAGAUUAAUUGAUUUGGAGGAGAAGGCAACAGAGAGGUGAUUGAAAGGAACUCAGCAAAAGAACUUCCCAUUUUCUAGUAAAGGAAAUAGUAUUCUGGAGUAUCCUAUGUCUUUACAGAUUACAUCAUCUGGAUAUGUCCUAGAGACCAGCUUGUGGUACAGAUGCUGUAGAAUACUGCCCUUCCUUCAGACCCAUGACUGUAAAAAUAGAUGCAAUAUACAAACGUGGAUUUCUGCAGCGCAAGCUGAGGAGACAAAAUCCCUUUUUGGCCGAUAUAGAAUCUCAGCAUUAGGGCUGGUUUGUGCUUCUGUUAAUUCCUGAUACUUUGCACUGGUCUUUAGUACGCAUUUGGUUAUCUGGUAAUAUUUUCCCUGGCACAAAAACACUGAUCAUCUUUCUAAUGGGGAGCAUAGUAAUUUGAAGCAUAUUCAUGUUUGUGCUAAAAGACCACAGUCUCAAAGGAUAAUCCAAAAGAUUGUUACGUGAUAGAUUAUGCGUGACAGGAUUUAGGAAAAUGUCACAUAUCAGACACACAGGCCAACAGUAUAUAACAGGACUGCUGCCUCUGGCAGCUUGAUUCUAGCAGAUUUCUAAUCAUGUGUAUUUCAAGAUGAUAAGAGGCAUGCAAGAAAUCUUUUACAGCUUUUGAGGAGUACUCCAGACCAAAAUGAAGGGCAUACUUGGUUGUAUACAAUAUUGAGGAAAUUUUUGUACCAGCAAUAUUAAAUUUCACUGUGAUAACCCUUUUAUUUUUCAGAUACUGAGCAAACUGAAUUGUUUCAGUUUGGUUUUUGGAGUUUUAACAAAUUAGGUCUCACUGUUUCCUUUUCCUUUUUUCCCCCUCUCUGCUAACACACAGUUCUACAACUAUACUUUUGCAACCAGCACGUUUAUGCUUCCAAUAUUUAUUCUUCUUUCCUUCAUAACCCAUUGGCAGAAUACACAGUUCCUGGGAUCUGUUGGAGAUUAGAUUGUCUCUCCUUCAAGGUAUUGCUAGGAAAAACAAAUGCUGAGAAAAUCUUCCCCACUUAAAACUGAUGAUUCAUGCUGCUGUUUCUUCUCAUUUUCUUUGUUUUGUCUCUUGAUGCCAAACGUAUACCACACAGCAGAAGGAAGGGGGAGGACGAAAGAAAGAGGAGAAAUCUUGAUCUGCAUGGAAAGUCGUCUCUUAAACUCAUCUUCUUAAAAGAACAGAAACAUUCAACAGCUUCUUGCUCUGACAAUCAUACAAAUGCUUCCAAAUAUCUGCCAGAAGAAUGCUAACUUAUCUUUAUUUUUUUCUUUCCUUCUCCACUCUUUUUUUUUAUCAUUAUUAUUCAAACACAGCCUUGCAGGCAAGCUCAGAGAUUGCAGAAUUACAUAUGAGCUCUUAGGGCUUGGCCCAUGAGCAGCCUCUUUGCCCAAACUUGCUAGUGAUUUGAACUGGUUAACUCAGCUCUCAAAGAAAGAUAUAGAUGCUAUUGUAGCGUGAUUAUUUACUGCAAAACCUUUAGCCUGGAUUCCUUCCAUUUUGUGGCUUUCUGAUUUGCUGUCUAUCGGCCUAGGCCUGUCUUUGUGGAAAACAGAGCCCAAAUUUCCGCUGUGCUCGCUGACGUGUACUGCUUGUGUUAGCAGAAACAGUAUCUGCAAUUUGCUCAGUCUGAGACCCAGAACACAGAUUCUACCAGCUCAAGCUACUGGUCGAACAUGGUCAUUAUCACAUUUCUGGCAUAACUGCUAGCAGAUGCUUUAGAAACAGCAAAGGCAAACAACCUAAUGCAUCUGGCCAAACGGGAAGUAGCACCAAAUAGGAAGGAAAAUUAUUUUCUGAUAUGUCUUUUGAUCAAUGUGUGAUUUGAAAGAAACAACGAAAUUGUCUUGUGCUUAAGAAUAGUUACAUCUAUGCAUUUCGUGGAGGCCUUUGAUGUAUUUUUCUGGAAGAUAAAAAUCAUCAGAUAAUCAGAAAGAGAUAUACUUCCGAAAUGGAACACAAGAUAUAGUGACUUCUUUAAAAUUCACUUCAGUGCCUUAUGAGAUUCAAUGGGAAAAAAAAAAAUGUAUUAGAAAACAUCUGAAUUUAAAAAAAAUCACUGAUUAAAAAAAUAAAAAAGAAAAAAAAGAAAGGAAAGAAUUCAAACAUAUUUGUCAUUUUGCUACUGUAGUUUGUGGUGAGAGGCUGAAUUUCGUCAUACAUUGCCACAUGAUGUUUCAAAAACGUAGCUGUAAGUACCAGGCAAGCAUGUGAUCAAUUCAGUUGACCCACAUGCCAUAGCACAUGAAUGGCUGCUCUGUUUUCCGUGGGUCUUCAGAUCAGGACUGGAUGCAUUGACCAACUGACUGUCCGCUUGUGCUGUUCUCUUUGGUCCUGCUGUGCUUCUUUUACUCCCUCCCCCCUCAGCCUGUAUUCCUUCCUCAGAUCUUUGUUUAGGAUGGAAUUAAUACGAAGCUGCUCUUUGUCCCAUAAACCAAGCUGUCUGGGUUUCUUGACUGGCUUCUUGUUAUAUGGCAGUUUUAAUUAGACCAUGUACACUUGGGGACUAAAAUAUACCAGGUCCCCUGUGAGACAAUUGAGCAACAUUUUUUCUGCAGUUUAUUUGGGUAGGUCCAAGGAAAUGAGAUUAGUUUUUUGCUGUAUUGAACUAACUUGGAAAUACAGGAUUAUACUACUAUUCACUAAGUAGUUUAAGCAUGCUCAAAAGCACAGGCUUCAGUAUCUCUAUCACUCAUGUACCUCACUCUCAAUAGAGAAGGACCACUUGGAAGAGCAAAGGAUCUAAUUCAUCCUUUGUAGUCAGUACAGUUUUGCUAAAUUUUCUUCCUUAGUAUUUUUCUUAGUGUGUUACAGCUUGUCUACCUACUGCAGUUUCUCAACCUUUUCCCCUAUGUGAUCCUGUGAACAGCAGGAAUAUAGUAACAACGUUGAGCUGUAUUAUGGACCUGGGUUUGAUUGUAAGGGGUGACCUGGGCAGAAAGGUCCUUCAGCUUUUCAUUGUGCAUAAAGUCAUGAUCUUGAUGGUCAAACAUGUCUUUAGGGACAAGAAACUAACAGAAAGUAUGAUGGCACUUAUAGGCAGAACAAAGUCUUCAUAUUCUCUUCACUAAUAAAGUAAAAUGCUCAUUUACUCAUGGCUUUAUGCACAAAGAAGUGUCUAUAGAAAGGUAAUAUGUUUCCUUUGGUCAAUAUUUCCGAAAAUAUUGGCCUUACUUCUGUUGUUCCAAAUAGAAAUUAUAUAUAAGCCAUAUAAGUCUUACGCUGCUCAUAUCCUUAGGCUUUACAGACACAAUAGUAAUGCUACCCAUAAUGUAAUGCAACACAAGGAUAUAUAUUCUGGUAAAUCAAAGACAGUAGCCCAGUACAAAUGAAGUAAGAGUUGGAUCUGUUGCUAGAGAGGAGAUUUCAUCAGAUCUUCAGGGAGCUUUGCACUGUAUAUUAUUCUAUGUCUACACAGAGAGUGUUGACGCCUGCUAUGUAGGCAUCCUUGAGAGUUCCUCCACUCAAGAGAACAGGAAAGGUGCUCUUCCCUGAGAAAAAAAGGCACUAAACCAUAAAGUUUGUUCUGUUAUUCAAGCUGUUUGUAGGCAGAAUUGAGAAACUGGUAAUGGAUAAUACUUACAGACCAAUUUUGGCAUUUUUUCAUAAACAAAUUAUAUAUCUGAAAUUGCUGUCAGUACUCUGCCAGCUGUAUGUAGAGGGGAUGCUGUAUCAACACAAAGAACACCAUGUACUGUUACAAUCUGACUCAGCAGGCAGAAACAUGUUUCAGGGUGCCCAAUUCAUUUGUGGAGUCAAUAUACCUCCCUUCUUUAAAAUGAAAAAAAGAGCUACUAAAAAUAAAGGAAGCUGCAUUAAACAGAUUAAUUUUUAUUUAUAAUUUUGCCUCAAGAAUGUAAGAAUAAGUCAACUCUUCCACGAUACUGGAACAUAUGAAAAGGUUUGGAUUCUCUCUCAUCCCUCUCACGCUAGCCUGACUAGGAAGCUAAAUAUGUACAUUCUUUGAGGGAAGAUUGCUUACUCAAUCCUUUGCUACUAUAAUAUUGUCAGUGUUAUAAAAUGAAAACAAAAACUAGAGAGCAAGGUUUUUUACUCAGGCUAAACUCGAUCUUAUAAACUCAGUGGCAGAACUUCCACCAACACUGAAUGCCUCAGGACUUCUGCUCUGAGUUUUCACUCAAGCAGAAUUGUCGCUGAAACUCAAAAUUUGCCAGGGGACAGACUUAGGAUGAUUCAGAGACCAUCCCUGAACUAGGAAGGUUGCUACCCAAGCAUGUAGCAGCUCACCUGUGACUGUUUUGCACAAAUUGAUGAAAUGUAACUGUUAUAAUAUGUCCAUGCAUUUCUUAUGUACCUGUGACCCUGUGGGUCAAGUAUUAAAUGCCAUAUGAACUACAGCUAUAAACAGAGCAGAAAGUGUCCUUAGGAGAAACACUCUUUUCCUUCCCUUAUUCCCAGCUGACUGCAUGUAGGAUUUGUGGUUUUGUUUUGUUUUUCCUGGAUAGCUGAUAGUUUUCUUGACUAGAAUGGAAGGGAACAGCCAUUCCCCCUCCCUCACCUUGACCUUGCUUUGUGCUGAUUUCCUGUCUGUGUGCUCACACUGAUUUCAAUAAAACAGUAUAGACAGUUCAGCACCAUUAGAAGGAGACUUCUCCAUGGAUCAACCCCAAUGUAACAUGAAGUUGGUCAGACAGAGUUUGUAUCAUAAACACACAUCUGUUUUCCUAUGAUCUCCCUAACCCCAGCCCCCACCCUCCAGCUUGCUCUGUUCAUAAAGCAUGGUUUAUGAAUUUGCUUGUUAAAAAUAUGGUCUGCUUUUGCAGUGCACCAGUUUACUUUCUGAUUCAUAUAGAAAAUAUGUUGUGACAGUGCAAUAUGUACUCAAGGUUAUUCUUACUGGUAGUAAAAAGCAGAUUAUCUCCGAAAACAUAUGGAGUCCUGCACAUAUGCACAUCUUCUGCAGAACUGGAGGAGGCAAGUGAAAGCAAAUGCAGUCAGAUGAAGAGUAGCUGCAAGUUGUUUCUAAACCAUGCACAACCAGCAAUAAUGCAGCUAGGCCAAAACAGAGAAACACUGGAAGGAAAGACCAAAAAACCCCAACAAAUAAAAUGACCAUUACUACAGUGUAUGCUGGCUCAUACUUGGUAUCUUGUCUCAGCUACAAUUCUACUAUAUGCUGAAAGAUUCAAGAGUAUGUGACAUAGAGGAGCCUACGUCACACCCAAUAAUGAAAUGAACGAGGAAAAAAGUACGGAAAGAUUCAAAGUGUUUAGUCUAACUCAAGGAAUAUAUGUGUAAAUUAGAACUUCAGCCUAGCAGACAGAGUGAGGUAGGCAAAGAACCACAGAACUGUUUUCUAACAUGCAACAUAACCCCCAUUUCACUAGAUGGUGAGGUAAAGGAAGAUGCCUUGCAUGGAAUCAUCUUGCACAGACCCCCGGGCUCUUUCUAGUUAUUUUUCUUGGAUGGAUGUCAUUUGGGGGGUUUUUCUGCUUUAUAGAUAGAAGGUGAGAUGACAAAUGGCCUUGCGGGGGGUGGAGAAGGGCUGUCAGUUACACUGAAAAUUUAGAGUCUUGAGAAUUAGUGAUUCGGGAAUCAUAAUAGAGAAGAUAAAAUAGUGGUGACGAGAGUCCAGGGGAUGUCCCCAAAACAGGAAUUUGGUGAGUGAUCUCUUUCUUUCCAGCAAAAGUAUUAAAGAUGCCUUUUAUGAAGCACUCUGUAGAAGAACACGGCCAUGCUAUCAAAUGAACAUAAAGAAAUGUGUGUGCUGUACAGAAGUACUGUCUUAAGUGAGAGUCUGGGAAGCCUCUCCUGAAGCUGUUAACAGUUUUAGAAAUUGCAGAUGGGUGUGAAGCCAGAAAUGCUAUCCUUACUGCUUUAAGUGAGAAAGAGCAAGACUGUAUGAAUGCAGUCACUUGCAAGGUUGAGCCAGAGUUAUCUAGUGUCUGCAGGACAGGUCUUUCCAUCACUGCAACAGAUCAGAGAAUAGAUGUUGGGGUACCAGUACCUGUACCUAAUAUUCCUACAGACUUUCUGAAGGAUUAGCAGGACAAGCUCAUGCCUGGGCCAAAGUCCAGCAUAGCAAAUUACUGCUUCUCAACAGGCUCUGAAUCAGUAUAGACCCUUGCACUUCUGCAAGAGUGCGCCAAGGUACCAGCAAACUCACAGCUAAUGCUGGGACUGUAACUUCAGUAUCUGCAGUGGUUGUGAAAUGGAAUUGGAGGGAACCCUUGCUAAACUCUCAAGACAGUGGCCUGGAGGCAAGCUGCCCUACUGAUCCUUUAUUUGAAACAGGGCCAGUGCUACCCUGCUCUCCGCUGGGACGGCAGAUCCAUUAAAGUGCUUGUGGUGCUCUGCUUCUGAGAUGCUGGGAACAACAGAGAAGUUAAUAAAUAAACACAAUUAAAAAACAAAUCAGGUCUCUCAUGAAUGCAUUGUCUUCUCUCUUUGCUCAAAUUCUUUACAUUCCAAAAUCAUAUUGGAAAAUGGGAGGCAAAUGCACAAUAAAAGCUGUCAGCUGCUUUUUGAGCCAUGUUGUUUCCAUUUCUACGGCUGUUUGAAAAGUGCAUGAAUGCAAAGCACUUUUAAACACUCUAAAAAUCAAUACAGAAGAAACAAUAGAAGCACAUUUAUUCUUGUUUUAUUCAAUGUCAGUAUUGCUGAGUUUUGCUUGACCAGAUGUUGCAGGGUUUCAAAGCUGUUCAACCAUAGCUGUUAACAAAACGGUCCUUCUUUCACUAAAAAAUAAAACAAAACAAACAAACAAAAAAACAUAUUUAUUUUAGAAAAUGUCUUUAGCUUCUUUUCUUAAUGAAAUAAAUAUACGAUUCCUCCAUUACUAAUAUUAAUCCUCAUUGCGUCCUCUGAGAGUAAGUCACAAGGCUUUUUACGUGUGCUGUUUGCACAGUAUUUGCACAAUCAUUUACAAUUCUGAAGGCCUAGUUUUAACUCAGUCACACUGCAACGUCAGGGUUUGUUGUUUCGUGUGUGUUUGUCUGUGUUGGUGUUUAUUUAUUUAUUUUAAUUUAAAGAACACACGCUCAAGAUAAGUAACGAUUUUUCAAAUACAGGCUGGAAAAGCUUAAGUCUUUCCUCUCUGUGUGGUAGUUUCCCUUCUCUUUCUUUUCCCGGACAGAACUGACAAGCAGGCAUUGUCCCUCCAGUGAGCUCUGCAGUAUUACUUUGACCCUAACCCAUCAAUCUGCCUCAAUUGGAUAAUGAUCUGUAAUCACUUUCUUUCAGGGGAGUCUAUAAAUUUGCCAAGGCCCCAUUCUUCUCUGAAGGCCUCCUUAUGUUCACUCCCAUUUGUGCAAAUGCUCUCUCUUUUACAGCACUAAAUAGCCAUGCACAUGGCCCUUUCUGUUCAGAGGCACCAGGCUGCUCGCUGUUGAUUUUCCAUGGCUCUUCCCUCUAAAAGGAGGCGAAGCCCUACAUGCCGGGGCUCGGCGGGGUGCAGGACGAAGCCACACCACUUCAAGAGCAGCCGCUUUUCUCAUUAAGACUGACCCAUCAUUAGGUCGCUUUGUGCCGGCCCUUGUAAUCGAUGAGAGGACUGUGUAGUGUGAAAAAGCUAAUAAAGACGAGCGUGAGGUGGUAGGAGGGGGGCAGAGGCUCUAAGUCCUGUUAGCAGGGAAGCCCUCCCUCCCCACAGCUCAGGCGCAUCAGGAAAGGGGAAGGCUCGGGUUAGCGAACGGGCUGCAGAUCCCUCCGAGUCAUUUCUUCGAUUAUCUCGCGCUUAAUACCCUGAGCAGCCUUGUGCUGUCCUCUUUAUUGGGCCUAAGGAGUGGAAUAAGCGUGAAAGGAAGAUCAUAUCCUUCUUCCUCAGCCGCCUUCCUUCUGAUUAAAGGAGAUCAAAGGCUGAGGAGCAUCUAGCUGCUUCUGUGUGCAGCACAAGGGGAAGCUGGCGUGUGUGUGUGGAGGUUUUCUUUCCUGCCCACUGAAAAAAGGCUGAGAAAAUGGCAGAAAAGCUAGGAGAAGGGGACAGGUGUGAAGGCUGCUCUUGUGUCUGGCGAAGGACCAAGCACACUUUGUGUCAUGUUGCAUACACUGCAAGAACUGCAGAGAAAAAGAGGGAACAAGUGAGGAAACAAGUAAGCACUCAUGAAUGUGCAGUGUUGAGCGACUCCUUCUGUAUGUACUGCAGAGAAAGCCAGACGUCUCUGGAAGCGUUGUGCACAUGGAAAUCACCAAAGAAAAGAAAAGAAAAAGAAAAGAGAGAAGAGAAGAGAAGAGAAGAGAAGAGAAGAGAAGAGAAGAGAAGAGAAGAGAAGAGAAGAGAAGAGAAGAGAAGAGAAGAGAAGAGAAGAGAAGAGAAGAAAAGAAAAGAAAAGAAAAGAAAAGAAAAGAAAAGAAAAGAAAAGAAAAGAAAAGAAAAGAAAAGAAAAGAAAAGAAAAGAAAAGAAAAGAAAAGAAAAGAAAAGAAAAGAAAAGAAAAGAAAAGAAGCAGCAGGAAUCUGCCGAUAUGACAAAGAGGCAUGGAGAAAUGAAAGGAUCUUCUUGCUUGGGGGAGGAGGAAUGGUGUCUGCAACACUGUGUACACUGGUGAGAAAACAUAUGUAGAGUGAGGUUGCAAAGGAAUGGCGUCAGAUGUUGUACAAAUGUAUGCUCAGUACAAGACAAUUUCUCCCAGACAAGUGGUCUGUAGAGCCUGUACUGCUCUUCAGAGUAAUGCUGCUCAUUCCUUCCCUUGUAGUCCAGUUUAUUUUGCAUAGCUGCAUGGACAGGAAGCACACACAACACCUCAUCUUCACUCCACUGUGUCUCUCCCUUUCUUCUUUUCCCACUAACAAAGAGGUAGAAAUAAAGAAAUAUACUCAUUUCCAUAGCCCGAGAACACAAAACUCCAUCUUUUGUGUCCAAAGUGUAAAGAGGUGUGGUCACCACUUGCACUUUCUUUCACCAUUUGUCACUGAAAUGAAUUUUGGUGAACAGCUCAGAAGUUUUUAAUAUCAAGCUUAGAUUUUUCUCAGCCGUGUGCAUAAGGACAAGAUCAUAAACUCCUAAGUUAGUGUCAGCGCUUCACUACAGCUAGGUCUGCUCCAUACUGUUACACUACUAACGCUGUGCACUGUAGUGUGCCUCAUGUUCCUAGUGACUGCAGAAAGCCUCGAAGCAGAAGGGAGCUGUUAAAGCUGUUGGUGUGCCUAAUCAGCACAUUGCUCUUCUGCUGUUUUUUGUUCAUGGUCAUCAUUCUUUACUGAGUGGAUAAUACCUCUGUCUUUCAGUAAACACCUUCCUCCCACCCAUAAUGCAUCAUUUGGUCCUUUACUCCAGCCAAGGGAUACGAAUACAGUCUCUGCCGGUGCCAGAAUUUUAGAAUAGACUGUUGUGUUGUGAAUAGACCGUUCCUAAGAAGUGUGGAAAUAUCAUCUGAGUUGAGAACUGUAUGGGAAUUGUGGUUUUUGCUUGCUGAAGUUUCUAAUUCUAAGAGUUGCAUAACAGAGGUACCCACUUCAAAACAAAAGCUGCUUGAUGCAGUAUUUCUGCUAGCCUUCUGCAUCAGCUGUGUCAUUCACUGUGUUUCACAUGAGAUUUUGUGUUGCUGUCAAAGAGAAGCUGCACAGAUUUACUUGAUUUGAAACAGGGAUGCCUGGCAAGUUGUUUUGGACGGCAGGAAAGCGUGUUGGCAUUUGUCUUAUUUUCAUUUUACUCAAGAUUCCAAAUGAUAACCAUCUCAAAGGUAAUUUGUUUCCAUUUUGUUAAAAAUUCCAUUGGAAAGUUGCUUUAUAUUGUAAAUUACUAAACACUUAAUUGAUAUCAUGUAAUAAAAAGAAUCAAAACCCCUCUGGUCCCUCUCAGGAGCUUGAGUUAACUCCGGUGGAGCCAGCUCUGUUGCCAUUUCCAAGUUCUUCUGUAGCGUUCUAGCAAUUCAUCAGUGUCAACGACACAUGGGAACUCUCAUGUUUGUAAAAGCCUGCAAGGGAUCCAUGUCCUACAUUUCAACAAAAAUCACAAAAUCACAUUUCAAGGUGGUCAAAGUUAGAGAAACAUCAGGCGAAUAAUUGCUAGCCCUUUUCUGAAGUGGAUAGUAAAACAUGGAGAAACAUGCAGACACAAGAGGCUAGUGGCUGCAACAGAAAGGAGAUUGUUCCUUUGAAGUGCCUAGAAAAUUGGAAAUGAAACAUAUUGUCAGGAUUCCAGAAGCCUUUGGCUACUGAAGGAGGAGGAGUACGAGAAUGUAAACAGACAAAUAUGUUGGUACGUACGUGUCACAGAAAUCAUAGUGGUGCAGUAAUACAGGGAAUGUUGGAAGAUCUUCUGUGAUUCAUUGCUUUAUCUUCACUGGCCUGCAUCACGGUGAUUUUUCUCCACCCUCUGUACAUGUUCCUGCUUGAUUGUUUAUGUUCUUACCUGAGCUUUCAGUAAGACCAGGAAUGUUUAAACUUCAGUCUGCCUCAUGCCUCAGCGUAGAUGCUUAAGGACAGACCUAAUCUGGCAUGUAAAAAACAGCAUCAUAAAAUACACCAUUUCUUGCUGCUGUGCAUUAUGCUUUAUGGGUAAUUGUCUCCAUCUCCCUCCAAGAUGGACCAGUCACAAUGGGUGACUGUGAAAGUGAGCACGUAGAUUCUGUGUUACAUAGAUUCUCAGCAUUUUACUUUGUCUUUUAGAGCUACCUAGACUUUAUAAUACUGGAGUAGGUGGUCUGGUAUUUCUAUAUGUCAUAGCUGCUAAGAUGGUUCAUGCAAGUUUUCUUUUUCCAGAAUUCACUGUCUUCUCUGUCUUGGGAUGGUCAUCAGACAGUCGGGUUUUGUGUAGAAAGUUCAGACUCACACUGUUAUGUUGUCUGUUAACUUACUGGUAAAGUUGGUAGUCCAGAGGAAAAUAAUUAAAGGGUGUGAAAUCCUUACAGUUUAGAGAAGACUGGAUACAUCACUUAUACACCUGAAGUUAUUUUACUUAUUACUGUGUCUUUAAUACUUGCACAGCUAUACAUGUUGACAUCUUUCAGGACACAAAGAACAUAGGUAAUAAUCAUUUGCAAUCAAAAUACAGAGAAUAAUGAGACAAUUCCUCCUUCAUGUCAUCAGUGUGAUCAGUGAUAUUAUAUUGAUCCUUUGGCUGAAAUUUUAGUUGGCAAUGUGCUAAUGAUCUUUCUAGAAUACUGCUACUUUCUGAUUUAUCCUUGGCUUCAUUCAUGUAGCAAUAGUAAAAAAUCCUGAAAUUGUCACUCAGAUGCAAAGAUAAAUUUCAAAUGCCCAGCAAUUGAUUAAGUUGAAUAACUGCUACAGUAAUCUGACAAAAUCAAUGUCAAAAAAUUAUCGUAGCAGUUGUUUGCAUUGUGGAAAACAGUGGCCUGAAUAACUAUGUGAGUAUUGGCUUUGUGUGAUCUUGAGUGUUCAACAAUAUUAACAGCAAUCUUCCAAUUUUCUUAAUUCCUAAUAUUGCAAACCUGGUUUCUGUUUGUAACAGCUCGUAUUUCUGCUUUUUGACUGUUCUUGAAGUGUGUGCAUGUGUAAUCCACUCUUACAUCAGGGAUUUCUACUCAUGCUGUUAUUUGUAGACAAAUCUCACCCUGAAGAAAUGUCAUGCCUCAUGUGUACGUUUGAAGAAAUGUAUAUGUCUCUUCACACUAUAUAAAUGUCAACUGCUGGUCAUUAUUUCUUUUUUAAUAUUUAUUGGUAUUUUAAUACAGACCUAACGCUAAGGCAAAUUCUCAUGUUUAUGUUAAUGUGUCUAUUAAUUGCAGCACCAAUGGCAAAUUUACUUGAACCUGACAUCACUGGUUACAAUGGGUCAAAGAUAUCCAAAGUCCAGGGGUGCUCCCUUAUUCUCAAGUCUCAGAAUAAAUUACUGAAGGUGACUUCUUUUUCUCCCAAAGUUGUCAUCUCCUGGUCUAAUAGUCUCAGUUAAUAAAAUGCUGUGUUCUGAAAUCUACCUAAUUCCCACCAGGAGUUGUGUGAUGCUGUUUUCUUUUUAACUGACUAAUUAUUAUUAUUGUAGACAUUUUAUUUACUCCAAAGUGGUUUGGGGAUAAUUGAUUAGGUUGCACCAUGUCAUGAAAGAACAGAUGGCAGGCUAGUCUGUCAGCUCAUCCACAGCAUAUGAGAAUGCUAGGAAAAUUAAAGGGUUGGGAGAAAAACAGAAAAAAAAAAAACCCAAAAAACAAGAAAAAAUAAGAAGGUGAAUGGGAGGGGAGAGGAACGAGCAAAGCUGUGCUUGCAACACAAAACCUUCUUGUAGUGGGUGGUCCUUUGGGAAGGUAAUCAGAGAUCUGCAAUAUGUCCACUACAAUCAACAAAAGGGUACAAUACUUCUCUGCAGGGAAUUGGGUAGGGAAAAACUUGUUUAAAUAAAAUUGCAG